rnacentral:rRNA from 1 species
CCUGCAACGCAGAACGACCCGCGAAUUGGUGAUAAUUAACUUGGGGACGCAGGCCUCCGUGCCCGUCGCCCAAAGUCUUAGGCGAGGGUUGUGGGAAACUCCACCUCCUUCGUCGCGGGCACAAAAAACAAACCCCCGGCGCGAAUUGCGCCAAGGAAUUCUAUGGAGAGAAAAGAAAUCAAGGCAUCCCCCCCGCUCCGGACGUCGGUGCCUUGGGGGUUGUGUCGUCGUUUCUGCCAAAUCUGAAAUGACUCUCGGCAACGGAUAUCUCGGCUCUCGCAUCGAUGAAGAACGUAGCGAAAUGCGAUACUUGGUGUGAAUUGCAGAAUCCCGUGAACCAUCGAGUUUUUGAACGCAAGUUGCGCCCAAAGCCGUCAGGUCGAGGGCACGCUUGCCUGGGUGUCACGCAACGUCGCUAAAUAUUCCCUCUACCCUUCUAGCGAGGAAAAACGAGGGCCGGCGGAUGUUGGCCUCCCGUGCGCUCUUUGCUCGCGGUUGGCCUAAAAGAAAUCCCUGGGCGGGGCUGCCACGACACGCGGUGGUUGGUAGCACGUGCUCCUCGAACACCGUCGUGUGCGAGCUUCGUCGACGGGGGAUUGCCAAGGACCCCGACGCAAAAGCGUCUAGCAAAGCGACCCCAGG